rfam:Oryza rufipogon genomic scaffold, chr05
AAAAACUCAAUUCUUGGGUUUUCGUGUCUAACGUUUGACCGUCUAUCUUAUAUGAAAUUUUUUAUGAUUAGUAUUUUUAUUAUUGUUAGAUGAUAAAAUAUAAAUAAUAUAAUAUGCAUGACUUAUAUUUUUAAAAUUUUUCAUAAUUUUUUUAAAUAAGACGGACAGUCAAAUGUUAGACACGUAAACCUGGGAUGGAGGGAGU